AAAGUCGUAACAAGGUCUCCGUUGGUGAACCAGCGGAGGGAUCAUUAAAGAGUUUUUAACUCCCAAAACCAUGUGAACUUACCUAUGUUGCCUCGGCGGGUGAAAUCUACGCUGUAACUAGUUGUAGGCUUUACCCGCCGGUGGACCAAACCAAAUUCUUAUUUUUCUGGCAUUUCUGAAUUAUUAUCAUAAUAAGUUAAAACUUUCAACAACGGAUCUCUUGGUUCUG
rnacentral:misc_RNA from 1 species